UGCCAGGUAAGCUCAAGCUGUGGUGUUUGCAGUUUGGUUUGUUGCCUCGGCUAAUGUGGCCAUUGACAGUUUAUGAAGUUCCUCUGUCAAAGGUAGAGAGUUUUGAAAAAAUGAUCAACUCCUUUGUCAGAAAAUGGCUCGGAGUCCCACGCUGCUUAAGCAGUGAGGCUGUAAGAUGUACUAAGGCAGUGUCGCAGGCAAAACAAGGGCAGUGGGUGAACUGGGAAGGGGU